CAGCCGCCGCGGGAAAACGGAGGGUGCAAGCGUUGUUCGGAAUCACUGGGCGUAAAGCGCACGUAGGCGGCUAUUCAAGUCAGGGGUGAAAGCCCGGGGCUCAACCCCGGAACUGCCUUUGAAACUAGGUAGCUUGAAUCUUGGAGAGGCGAGUGGAAUUCCGAGUGUAGAGGCGAAAUUCGUAGAUAUGCGGAGGAACACCGAUGGCGAAGGCAAUCCCCUGGACCUGUACUGACGCUCAUGCACGAAAGCGUGGGGAGCAAACAGGAUUAGAGACCCCUGUAGUCCCUGUCUCUUAUAC
rnacentral:rRNA from 1 species